AGAUAUAGACUGUCACCAUGGCCAAUUUUAAGCUCCGAACUUGAUGUCAUUGAGCACAGGCUGGGAAGAGAUGCUCACAAUCGCUUCUUGCAUGUCGAUACAAGUUGGUUCCUGCACACCUCUGCAGGUGUUGUUCCUGAGCACACUCUUCAAUAAACUUCUAGUGUGAGAAUCUCGGUCUUAAGAGGCUUUCUCUGGACUACCUGAUCCAAAACAUCCAGUCAUCUGUCACCAUGCAUUCAACCUGGACAGAAAAUAACGUUUACCAAUAAAAGUUUCUGGAAGGAAGAUGACGCUGAAUUGCUUCACUGAAAAGGUGUGCCAAGAAGGUGUAUGCUGUGGGUGUCGGAAACGGAGGAUUCAUCGUAUUUGGUUACCUAAGAUACUGCUAGA